CAAUAGCGUAUAUUAAAGUUGUUGCAGUUAAAAAGCUCGUAGUUGGAUUUCUGGGAGGGUGCUAAUGUCCGCCGUAGCGCGUGUGCAGCCGCGCCCUUCCAUCCUUCUGUUAACGCCUCUUGGCAUUUGUUUGCUGGUGGCGGGCUCAGAUAUUUUUACCUUGAGAAAAUUAGAGUGUUUCAGGCAGGCUAGGCCGGAAUAUAUUAGCAUGGAAUAAUGGAAUAGGACUAUGGUCUCUUUGUUGGUUUGAGGGACUGCAGUAAUGAUUAAUAGGGAUAGUUGGGGGCAUUAGUAUUUAACUGUCAGAAGUGAAAUUCUUGGAUUUGUUAAAGACGGACUACUGCGAAAGCAUUUGCCAAGGAUGUUUUCAUUGAUCAAGAACGAAAGUUAGGGGAUCGAAGAUGAUUAGAUACCA
rnacentral:rRNA from 1 species